rnacentral:SRP_RNA from 1 species
GCCAGGCAUGGUAGUGCAUGCCUAUAAUCCCAGCUACUUGGGAGGCUGAGGCAGGAGAAUCACUUGAGCCCAGGAGGUGGAGGGUGCAGUAAGCAGAGAUCGCCCCACUGCACUCCAGCCUGGGCAACAGAGUGAGACUCUGUCUUAA